rnacentral:rRNA from 1 species
AGAGUUUGAUCCUGGCUCAGAUUGAACGCUGGCGGCAGGCCUAACACAUGCAAGUCGAACGGUAGCACAGAGAGCUUGCUCUCGGGUGACGAGCGGCGGACGGGUGAGUAAUGUCUGGGAAACUGCCUGAUGGAGGGGGAUAACUACUGGAACGGUAGCUAAUACCGCAUAACGUCGCAAGACCAAAGUGGGGGACCUUCGGGCCUCAUGCCAUCAGAUGUGCCCAGAUGGGAUUAGCUAGUAGGUGGGGUAAUGGCUCACCUAGGCGACGAUCCCUAGCUGGUCUGAGAGGAUGACCAGCCACACUGGAACUGAGACACGGUCCAGACUCCUACGGGAGGCAGCAGUGGGGAAUAUUGCACAAUGGGCGCAAGCCUGAUGCAGCCAUGCCGCGUGUAUGAAGAAGGCCUUCGGGUUGUAAAGUACUUUCAGCGAGGAGGAAGGCAUUAAGGUUAAUAACCUUAAUGAUUGACGUUACUCGCAGAAGAAGCACCGGCUAACUCCGUGCCAGCAGCCGCGGUAAUACGGAGGGUGCAAGCGAUAAUCGGAAUUACUGGGCGUAAAGCGCACGCAGGCGGUCUGUUAAGUCAGAUGUGAAAUCCCCGGGCUCAACCUGGGAACUGCAUUUGAAACUGGCAGGCUUGAGUCCUGUAGAGGGGGGUAGAAUUC